rnacentral:tRNA from 1 species
GCGGGUGUAGCUCAGGGGUAGAGCGCAACCUUGCCAAGGUCGAAGUCGAGAGUUCGAAUCUCUUCACCCGCUCCA